rnacentral:lncRNA from 7 species
AGGACCGGUGGUCGUGGCCAUGGUCCAUGGACGGGGCUGGCUGGCUGGCUGGUCUGGUCUGGCCCUCGACGGGUAGGCUUUUGGAGGCUGAAGGAAAGAUGGGUACAAAGGAGAGCUUUUCGCCGGGAGAGGUGCUCGGACGGAGCGGGGGACGAAAGGAAGCGCAAAGCGGAGCGGAACAAAGCGGGCAAAAUGCUCUUCUCUCUCGCAUUGCAUUGAGUUCAUGAUGAGUUCUCGUGCCUAGACCUUUGUAUACAGAGAGACGAAAAAUGAAAUGAUACCGCAUUUGCAUUCCCUUUUCAUCUCUCUGAUGGGGUGAUCAAUUGAGCUGUCAAUGCACAUUAACCAACGCCAAGCUGUUGAUCAUGUAUAGGAGAAAAAGGUGAAUGAUCAUCUAACGGUUCUCCAAAUGAUCAGAGUAUCAGGCCAUUUGAUUUCUCCCGAUGGAGCUUUGGAGUAGCAGCGAAUUUAGAAAUCCAACCAACUUGUGUUGAUGUGCAGUGCAGAUAUGCAGACCAGCCUGCAAACACGACAAGAUAACUCGAUUUUCGUUGCCCCCUAAUUCCCGAAAAGGAAUCCUAGAAAGUGCAAGAUCAGGGCAUCUGCCCGCCCAGGCGCCCAGGAAGGAAUAGGAUAAGCAGCAGAUGGCGUUAGCAGAGGCGCUGCUCUGCUCCUGUUCUCUCAUUCUCUGGUGGCUGGCUCAGGGCCUCAGGAUCAGCUCUACUACAACCGCCUUUGCUGGCCCUAGCUAGAAAGCGGCAUGUUUACGACAUCAUGGUCGUGCUCGUCGUCGGGGCCGUGCUAUCUCCAAAUCUCCCUCGAAAAGCUGGAAGCGCCACACCCCGUCC